rnacentral:rRNA from 1 species
GACGAACGCUGGCGGCGUGCUUAACACAUGCAAGUCGAACGGUGAUGGGUGGAGCUUGCUCUGCUCUGAUCAGUGGCGAACGGGUGAGUAACACGUGAGUAACCUGCCCCAGACUCUGGAAUAACCCCGGGAAACCGGUGCUAAUACCGGAUAUGACACAGAAUCGCAUGGUUUCUGUGUGGAAAGUUUUUCGGUUUGGGAUGGACUCGCGGCCCAUCAGCUUGUUGGUGAGGUAAUGGCUCACCAAGGCGACGACGGGUAGCCGGCCUGAGAGGGCGACCGGCCACACUGGGACUGAGGCACGGCCCAGACCCCUACGGGAGGCAGCAGUGGGGAAUAUUGCACAAUGGGCGCAAGCCUGAUGCAGCGACGCCGCGUGAGGGAUGAAGGCCUUCGGGUUGUAAACCUCUUUCAGCUCUGAAGAAGCGAAAGUGACGGUAGGAGCAGAAGAAGCACCGGCUAACUACGUGCCAGCCGCCGCCGUAAAAC